rnacentral:rRNA from 1 species
GCGAACGCGGCGAACUGAAACAUCUAAGUAGCUGCAGGAAAAUAAAUCAACCGAGAUUCCCAAAGUAGUGGCGAGCGAAAUGGGAAGAGCCUGUACGUGAUAGUCGGACUGAUAGUGGAAUGCUCUGGAAAUGGCAGCCAUAGCGGGUGAUAGCCCCGUACACGAAAUCAGACCGGUGGUACUAAGCGUACGACAAGUAGGGCGGGACACGAGAAAUCCUGUCUGAAUAUGGGGGGACCAUCCUCCAAGGCUAAAUACUCGUA